UUAAAUUGAAGAGUUUGAUCAUGGCUCAGAUUGAACGCUGGCGGCAGGCCUAACACAUGCAAGUCGAACGGUAACAGGAAGCAGCUUGCUGCUUUGCUGACGAGUGGCGGACGGUGAGUAAUG
rnacentral:rRNA from 1 species